UUGCUAACUGCUUUGCAUGGAGCCCUGGAGCAAAACCCAGCCGCUCAGAACUUAUAAACCAGACUUUUUCAGUGAGAACAGAGUUACAUCAGACAGGCAGGGAGAGCAAGAUGGAGUCACAGACCCAGGUCCUCAUGUCCCUGCUCCUCUGGAUAUCUGGUGCAUGUGGAGAUAUUGUGAUGACUCAGUCUCCAUCUUCCCUGGCUGUGUCAGCAGGAGACAAGGUCACCAUCAGCUGCAGGUCCAGUCAGAGUGUCUAUUACAGUGGAAACAAUAAGAACCUCUUGGCCUGGUACCAGCAGAAACCAGGGCAGUCUCCUAAACUGCUGAUCUACUUUGCAUCCACUCGGUUCACUGGGGUCCCUGAUCGAUUCAUAGGCAGUGGAGAUAGGACAGAUUUCACACUCACGAUCAGCAAUGCUCAGGAUGAUGAUCUAGCACAUUAUUACUGUCAGCAGGGUAUCAGCUUUCCUCACACAGUGCUUCAGCCUCCAACAAAAACCUCCUCUAAGAAUCUCACCAGCUGUCUGUACCACACACAGUCCUGUACUUCACACUUCCCCAUUCUCCCUGAAGCAUUGAUGAAAACAUAUGUAGAGUCUAGCAAAUUACAAUGGGUUCAGUAUCUCUUACGUCUUUUGGUAUGA